GGCUUGGUAGUUAAUAUACAAUAACGGCAAGUUGCAAACUUGCAAUAGCAAUAAAUGCUCAAGUUU
rnacentral:tRNA from 1 species